UGGCCCAUUCACCCAAACUUUGCUCAGU
rnacentral:piRNA from 1 species